UUAAAACUCUAAGGACUUGGCGGUGCCCCAGACCCACCUAGAGGAGCCUGUUCUAUAAUCGAUAACCCACGAUGCACCCGACCACUCCUUGCCAAAGCAGCCUAUAUACCGCCGUCGCCAGCUCACCUCGCCUGAAAGAACAACAGUGAGCAUAAUAGCCCCAACCCCGCUAACAAGACAGGUCAAGGUAUAGCCUAUGGGGUGGAAGAAAUGGGCUACAUUUUCUAAAAUAGAUAACCUCACGGAAAGGGACAUGAAAUUGCCCCU
rnacentral:rRNA from 1 species